rnacentral:rRNA from 1 species
GAAAAGAGUAAUCUGCUAGUAGAUGGGCUCGCGUCUGAUUAGAUAGUUGGUGGGGUAACGGCCUACCAAGUCGACGAUCAGUAGCCGGACUGAGAGGUUGAACGGCCACAUUGGGACUGAGAUACGGCCCAGACUCCUACGGGAGGCAGCAGUCGGGAAUAUUGCGCAAUGGAGGAAACUCUGACGCAGUGACGCCGCGUAUAGGAAGAAGGUUUUCGGAUUGUAAACUAUUGUCGUUAGGGAAGAUACAAGACAGUACCUAAGGAGGAAGCUCCGGCUAACUACGUGCCAGCAGCCGCGGUAAUACGUAGGGAGCAAGCGUUAUCCGGAUUUAUUGGGUGUAAAGGGUGCGUAGACGGGAAAGCAAGUUAGUUGUGAAAUCCCUCGGCUUAACUGAGGAACUGCAACUAAAACUGUUUUUCUUGAGUGUUGGAGAGGAAAGUGGAAUUCCUAGUGUAGCGGUGAAAUGCGUAGAUAUUAGGAGGAACACCGGUGGCGAAGGCGACUUUCUGGACAAUAACUGACGUUGAGGCACGAAAGUGUGGGGAGCAAACAGGAUUAGAUACCCUGGUAGUCCACACCGUAAACGAUGGAUACUAGGUGUAGGGAAUGAUUUCAUUUUCUGUGCC